rnacentral:rRNA from 1 species
CCCUUAGACGUUCUGGGCCGCACGCGCGCUACACUGACCAGUGCAACAAGCAUCCGUCCUUGGCCGACAGGCUCGGGCAAUCUUUGAACGCUGGUCGUGAUGGGGAUAGACUUUUGCAAUUUUUGGUCUUCAACGAGGAAUUCCUAGUAAACGCAAGUCAUCAGCUUGCGUUGAUUACGUCCCUGCCCUUUGUACACACCGCCCGUCGCUCCUACCGAUUGAAUGGUCCGGUGAAGCGUUCGGACCGUGGCCUUUGGACGGUUCGCCGUCUGUUGGCUGCGGGAAGUUCGUUAAACCUUAUCAUUUAGAGGAAGGAGAANUCGUAACA